rnacentral:rRNA from 1 species
CAAUAGCGUAUAUUAAAGUUGUUGCAGUUAAAAAGCUCGUAGUUGGAUUUGUGUUUUAGAUGAAUGGUUUCUGCUUUUGCAAAGUACUGUUUAUUUGGGACAUUAUUUGUGAGGGUCCUUGACUGGCAUUAAGUUGUUGGUUUUGGAAGCUUGCAUCGUUUACUGUGAAAAAAUUAGAGUGUUUCAAGCAGGCGUUUGCUUUUGAAUACAUUAGCAUGGAAUAAUAGGAUAUGACUAGCGUGGUCUAUUUUGUUGGUUUGCACACGCAAGUAAUGAUUAAUAGGGACAGUUGGGGGUAUUCAUAUUUGAGCGUCAGAGGUGAAAUUCUUGGAUCGCUGAAAGGUGAGCUUAGUCGAAAGCAUUUAUCAUGGAUGUUUUCAUUAA